rnacentral:rRNA from 1 species
CUGGAAAGGCGCGCGAUACAGGGUGACAGCCCCGUACACAAAAAUGCACAUAUUGUGAGCUCGAUGAGUAGGGCGGGACACGUGGUAUCCUGUCUGAAUAUGGGGGGACCAUCCUCCAAGGCUAAAUACUCCUGACUGACCGAUAGUGAACCAGUACCGUGAGGGAAAGGCGAAAAGAACCCCGGCGAGGGGAGUGAAAAAGAACCUGAAACCGUGUACGUACAAGCAGUGGGAGCCUCUUUAUGGGGUGACUGCGUACCUUUUGUAUAAUGGGUCAGCGACUUAUAUUCUGUAGCAAGGUUAACCGAAUAGGGGAGCCGAAGGGAAACCGAGUCUUAACUGGGCGUUAAGUUGCAGGGUAUAGACCCGAAACCCGGUGAUCUAGCCAUGGGCAGGUUGAAGGUUGGGUAACACUAACUGGAGGACCGAACCGACUAAUGUUGAAAAAUUAGCGGAUGACUUGUGGCUGGGGGUGAAAGGCCAAUCAAACCGGGAGAUAGCUGGUUCUCCCCGAAAGCUAUUUAGGUAGCGCCUCGUGAAUUCAUCUCCGGGGGUAGAGCACUGUUUCGGCAAGGGGGUCAUCCCGACUUACCAACCCGAUGCAAACUGCGAAUACCGGAGAAUGUUAUCACGGGAGACACACGGCGGGUGCUAACGUCCGUCGUGAAGAGGGAAACAACCCAGACCGCCAGCUAAGGUCCCAAAGUCAUGGUUAAGUGGGAAACGAUGUGGGAAGGCCCAGACAGCCAGGAUGUUGGCUUAGAAGCAGCCAUCAUUUAAAGAAAGCGUAAUAGCUCACUGGUCGAGUCGGCCUGCGCGGAAGAUGUAACGGGGCUAAACCAUGCACCGAAGCUGCGGCAGCGACACUAUGUGUUGUUGGGUAGGGGAGCGUUCUGUAAGCCUGCGAAGGUGUACUGUGAGGUAUGCUGGAGGUAUCAGAAGUGCGAAUGCUGACAUAAGUAACGAUAAAGCGGGUGAAAAGCCCGCUCGCCGGAAGACCAAGGGUUCCUGUCCAACGUUAAUCGGGGCAGGGUGAGUCGACCCCUAAGGCGAGGCCGAAAGGCGUAGUCGAUGGGAAACAGGUUAAUAUUCCUGUACUUGGUGUUACUGCGAAGGGGGGACGGAGAAGGCUAUGUUGGCCGGGCGACGGUUGUCCCGGUUUAAGCGUGUAGGCUGGUUUUCCAGGCAAAUCCGGAAAAUCAAGGCUGAGGCGUGAUGACGAGGCACUACGGUGCUGAAGCAACAAAUGCCCUGCUUCCAGGAAAAGCCUCUAAGCAUCAGGUAACAUCAAAUCGUACCCCAAACCGACACAGGUGGUCAGGUAGAGAAUACCAAGGCGCUUGAGAGAACUCGGGUGAAGGAACUAGGCAAAAUGGUGCCGUAACUUCGGGAGAAGGCACGCUGAUAUGUAGGUGAAGUCCCUUGCGGAUGGAGCUGAAAUCAGUCGAAGAUACCAGCUGGCUGCAACUGUUUAUUAAAAACACAGCACUGUGCAAACACGAAAGUGGACGUAUACGGUGUGACGCCUGCCCGGUGCCGGAAGGUUAAUUGAUGGGGUUAGCGGUAACGCGAAGCUCUUGAUCGAAGCCCCGGUAAACGGCGGCCGUAACUAUAACGGUCCUAAGGUAGCGAAAUUCCUUGUCGGGUAAGUUCCGACCUGCACGAAUGGCGUAAUGAUGGCCAGGCUGUCUCCACCCGAGACUCAGUGAAAUUGAACUCGCUGUGAAGAUGCAGUGUACCCGCGGCAAGACGGAAAGACCCCGUGAACCUUUACUAUAGCUUGACACUGAACAUUGAGCCUUGAUGUGUAGGAUAGGUGGGAGGCUUUGAAGUGUGGACGCCAGUCUGCAUGGAGCCGACCUUGAAAUACCACCCUUUAAUGUUUGAUGUUCUAACGUUGGCCCCUGAUCGGGGUUGCGGACAGUGUCUGGUGGGUAGUUUGACUGGGGCGGUCUCCUCCUAAAGAGUAACGGAGGAGCACGAAGGUUGGCUAAUCCUGGUCGGACAUCAGGAGGUUAGUGCAAUGGCAUAAGCCAGCUUGACUGCGAGCGUGACGGCGCGAGCAGGUGCGAAAGCAGGUCAUAGUGAUCCGGUGGUUCUGAAUGGAAGGGCCAUCGCUCAACGGAUAAAAGGUACUCCGGGGAUAACAGGCUGAUACCGCCCAAGAGUUCAUAUCGACGGCGGUGUUUGGCACCUCGAUGUCGGCUCAUCACAUCCUGGGGCUGAAGUAGGUCCCAAGGGUAUGGCUGUUCGCCAUUUAAAGUGGUACGCGAGCUGGGUUUAGAACGUCGUGAGACAGUUCGGUCCCUAUCUGCCGUGGGCGCUGGAGAACUGAGGGGGGCUGCUCCUAGUACGAGAGGACCGGAGUGGACGCAUCACUGGUGUUCGGGUUGUCAUGCCAAUGGCACUGCCCGGUAGCUAAAUGCGGAAGAGAUAAGUGCUGAAAGCAUCUAAGCACGAAACUUGCCCCGAGAUGAGUUCUCCCUGACUCCUUGAGAGUCCUGAAGGAACGUUGAAGACGACGACGUUGAUAGGCCGGGUGUGUAAGCGCAGCGAUGCGUUGAGCUAACCGGUACUAAUGAACCGUGAGGCUUAACCUUACAACGCCGAAG